UACGUAGGGACCGAGCGUUGUCCGGAUUCAUUGGGCGUAAAGAGCUCGUAGGCGGCCACUCAAGUCGAAUGUGAAACCUCGAGGCUUAACCUCGAGCCUGCAUUCGAUACUGGAUGGCUAGAGUCUGGUAGGGGGAUCUGGAAUUCCUGGUGUAGCGGUGGAAUGCGCAGAUAUCAGGAGGAACACCGGUGGCGAAGGCGGGAUCCUGGGCCAGUACUGACGCUGAGGAGCGAAAGCGUGGGGAGCAAACAGG
rnacentral:rRNA from 1 species